AACGAACGCUGGCGGCAGGCCUAAAACAUGCAAGUCGAACGCCCCGCAAGGGGAGUGGCGCACGGGUGAGUAACGCGUGGGAACGUGCCCUUCACUACGGGACAACGUCGGGAAACUGACGCUAAUACCGUAUAAUGACUCCGGUCCAAAGAUUUAUCGGUGAAGGAGCGGCCCGCGUCUGAUUAGCUAGUUGGUGAGGUAAUGGCUCACCAAGGCUACGAUCAGUAGCAGGUCUGAGAGGAUGAUCUGCCACACUGGGACUGAGACACGGCCCAGACUCCUACGGGAGGCAGCAGUUAGGAAUAUUGGACAAUGGGCGAAAGCCUGAUCCAGCCAUGCCGCGUGUGUGAUGAAGGCCCUAGGGUUGUAAAGCACUUUCGUUGAGGAAGAUAAUGACUGUACUCAAAGAAGAAGCACCGGCUAACUUCGUGCCAGCAGCCGCCGUAA
rnacentral:rRNA from 1 species